UACGGAGGGGAGCUAGCGUUGUUCGGAAUUACUGGGCGUAAAGCGCACGUAGGCGGCUUUGUAAGUUAGAGGUGAAAGCCCGGGGCUCAACUCCGGAACUGCCUUUAAGACUGCAUCGCUUGAAUCCAGGAGAGGUGAGUGGAAUUCCGAGUGUAGAGGUGAAAUUCGUAGAUAUUCGGAAGAACACCAGUGGCGAAGGCGGCUCACUGGACUGGUAUUGACGCUGAGGUGCGAAAGCGUGGGGAGCAAACAGG
rnacentral:rRNA from 1 species